rnacentral:rRNA from 1 species
CAGCAGCCGCGGUAAUACAGAGGAUGCAAGCGUUAUCCGGAAUGAUUGGGCGUAAAGCGUCUGUAGGUGGCUUUUCAAGUCCGCCGUCAAAUCCCAGGGCUCAACCCUGGACAGGCGGUGGAAACUACCAAGAUGGAGUACGGUAGGGGCAGAGGGAAUUUCCGGUGGAGCGGUGAAAUGCGUUGAGAUCGGAAAGAACACCAACGGUGAAAGCACUCUGCUGAGCCGACACUGACACUGAGAGACGAAAGUUAGGGGAGAAAAUGGGAUUAGAGACCCCCGUAGUCCCUGUCUCUUAUAC